GGGGACGUAGCUCAGCUGGGAGAGCACCUGCUUUGCAAGCAGGGGGUCAGGGGUUCGAUCCCCCUCGUCUCCACAA
rnacentral:tRNA from 1 species